GACAGAGGCCUCGAGCGUUAGGCGGAAUCACUGGGCUUAAAGCGUGUGUAGGCGGGCCCGUAAGUGUCUUGUGAAAUCCCACGGCUCAACCGUGGAACUGCAUUCGAUACUGUCGGGCUAGAGGCAGGUAGGGGAGAUCGGAAUUCCUGGUGUAGCGGUGAAAUGCGCAGAUAUCAGGAGGAACACCGGUGGCGAAGGCGGAUCUCUGGGCCUGUCCUGACGCUCAGGCGCGAAAGCUAGGGGAGCGAACAGG
rnacentral:rRNA from 1 species